UACGUAGGUGACAAGCGUUGUCCGGAUUUACUGGGCGUAAAGAGCGCGCAGGCGGUCGUUCAAGUCGAGUGUGAAAGCCCCCGGCUCAACUGGGGAGGGUCAUUCGAUACUGAUCGACUCGAAGGCGGGAGAGGGUAGUGGAAUUCCCGGUGUAGUGGUGAAAUGCGUAGAUAUCGGGAGGAACACCAGUGGCGAAGGCGACUACCUGGCCUGUUCUUGACGCUGAGGCGCGAAAGCUAGGGGAGCAAACGGG
rnacentral:rRNA from 1 species